CAGUAGGGAAUCUUCGGCAAUGGACGAAAGUCUGACCGAGCAACGCCGCGUGAGUGAAGAAGGUUUUCGGAUCGUAAAACUCUGUUGGUAGAGAAGAACGUUGGUGAGAGUGGAAAGCUCAUCAAGCGACGGUAACUACCCAGAAAGGGACGGCUAACUACGUGCCAC
rnacentral:rRNA from 1 species